rfam:Oidiodendron maius Zn unplaced genomic scaffold scaffold_1, whole genome shotgun sequence.
GGCUCAAUGGUCUAGUGGUAUGAUUGUCGCUUCGGGCUUUUUGGGUUUCUAUUCAAAGUCCUCUGCUCCUAGAGCAGGUCUGAGCAUGUGACAGGUCCCGGGUUCAAAUCCCGGUUGAGCCC